rnacentral:rRNA from 1 species
UGGGGAAUAUUGCACAAUGGGGGAAACCCUGAUGCAGCGACGCCGCGUGAGUGAAGAAGUAUUUCGGUAUGUAAAGCUCUAUCAGUAGGGAAGAAAAUGACGGUACCUGACUAAGAAGCCCCGGCUAACUACGUGCC